rnacentral:lncRNA from 1 species
GGUCCGAACGUAUUCGGACAGUUUGAGAGUCGGUGUUGAAGAUGCCUUUAGUGUAUUUUCAUGGUUAUUUAUCAAUCAAAAUAUACAAAGUUUGUAUUUACUCGACCAAACGUUUAGUCUAACUAAUGAGUUUGACUCUAUCACCAUGAUAGAGUAUAUUAUCUUCUUCUAUUUAUUGAUUAUUAGUAGCGAGCUACACAUGCUUCUUUUAUUGACUCUAUUAUUAGAGCAUCUUCUUCCUCCCGGUCGAACGCACUCAUCGGCAUCGCUUCCAGAAAUCCAGAUCCAAAUAGCGACGACCUCCGUCUCCGAUCUUGAGAGAGGAGGCAGCUGGACGCCCUCAACAGUCAACACAGAGGAGGUGAUCCAGCAUGUCGACGAACACGAAGCCUAAGCGCGGUGCUCGCCCAGGAUGCCCGCGGAGCCGACAUCCUAGUGGCCAGGGUGAGCAACUGCCAUGGCAACGACGGGAGAGGAGGCUUGCGCUCCGUGUGCGGACGUCGUCCUCCGCGCGCAAAGUUUCCGGGGUCCACCCGAACCUGGUGAGCUGCCGUGCAGCGUGGAGGGCGAGCAGCACAGCGUUGCCUGACGUUCCAGGCUUCAACCACGAGGAGAUCCGGAAAACAUCACGCACACGCAUCGCCGGGAGUUCUUGCCGGGGCCACGGGCUACCUCGCUCCGGAGCGAGGCACGGAACGGGGGUUGUCGCCGCCGAGUGCUCCAUGUAGGCGAGGAGCUUCUGCCCACGGCGAACGGCAGGGUGUAUCUUCCGUGCCAGACUCCAUGUCGACACACGACGGCCAAGAGGUGUGGCCGUGUGGGUGGAGGAUGCCAAGACCGAUGAUGAGAGAAGACCGACGCCGGCGAAUCCUCCUUGGUGCCAGCUGACUCCGCUUCCUCCCUCCGCACAGGUACCUACCGCGCGCCGGGAUCCAUUCCCUUACUACUAGUCAGUACUACAUGCCUUGUUGUAACUGCACCAUGGCUUCCAAGGGAGCUCGAUCUCUCCCUCGUCUUAUAGAAGAAGAAGAUGAAGUUGCUUGAGCCGCGUGCACGACGACGGGUGGGACGCGUAGCCGACGUCUCCGUCUCCGUUCCUUUUCUUUGGAACUAGCUAGCUAGAGUCUUUUCUUCUUUCUUUUUUCUUUGCAACCAAGGCUUCCUAGCUAGCUAGAGUAGAUGUUUUUUUAACAUAGUACAAAUUCUGACGUUCAUACAUUCGCACAUACACUACCCUAUAAACACAUGCAGACACAUCCUAAUCAUAUGAGCACCUCCGAAAAACUGACCCGGCACAUCGUUGCUACACAAAUCAGAUUCAAAUUGAAUAAACAUAAAAGGUGAAAGUUGAUGGUGUGAGCUCAUAUGUAGGCCCAACAAUCUUCACAAAUAAACAAAUGCACUUUUACCCAUCUAUGAUACCUGCAAUUUUUAAAAAAGGAUAAAUACAAUUAGUGGACAGGCUCCAAGUAAGAGGAAGAGGGAGAUUUGAGAGUGGGUGGGCUUGGUCGGCCCCGCCUAAGGAGGAGAUGGCAGUCCGAGGACGAUGAGGAGGGUGUUGACGGUGACGGUGAAGAAAUUGAAGGAUAUGCUUUAGCGGAUGCAUAUUCUAAAUUCUAAACUAGAGAUGACGACCUUGAUAUAUACGCUUUCUGUAUUCUUCACAUCUCAAUUUCUAUUAACAGGCAGAGUACUCUCAAGAGAAUUCUUAAAGUGAAGAGACCUCAACGUUUACAUAUACAAAUGACUCUAGAAUUUGUUGUCUAAACAUAAAAGGGAAAAUACAACAACAUAUGACUCAACAAUCAACCCAUGUAUAGAUAAUGGAGUAGGAGUCAUCUCAUCGCCCAAGAUGAACUAGAUUAAGGAAUCAUCCCCAUAUCAUCGCUAGUGUACAAGAAGUCGUCGAAGGGGGACUGCGUCCAUGAGUUAUUCUCUUCCGCGAGGUAAUUGGUGAACCAGGAGUGUCCAGAGUUGUCCCCAUCCACGCUGGUGCCGCCGGUCAUAGGCUGCAUCGCUUCUUGGUCCUUGUUGGCCCUAUCAGCGAGAAUCUGCAUCUCUCCAUUGCCCGUGUCGUCACCAUCGGUGAGGAACUGCUUCUCUCCCUCAUCGGUGUCAACACCAUCGACCUCAGACUCGAUCUGUAUGGGAUUCUGGUAUGUGCCCAAUGCACCGAACGCGAACUGCAUCAGAUCCUUGUUCGCGUUGGCAGCAUCGGACUCGGACACGACAUGUAUGGGAUCCAUGUCUGUGCCAACACCUCCGAGGACGGACUGCAUGAAAUCAUUCUCCAUGCUGGCACCAUCGGGCUCAGCCUGGACCUGUAUGGGAUCCUUGCCUGUCCCGAUUCCGUCGAGCAUAGACUGCAUGACAUCCUGGACCGAGUCGCCGCCGCCAAGCAUGAACUUGUUCAGAUCCAUGUUCGGGCUGGUGCUGCAGGACCCGUACUCCAUCAUAACCUUGUCCAUCUUGACACCACCAAGCAUGAAAUGCUUCGGAUCCUGGCCUGAGUCGGCGUCGCCACACACAUACUCCAUCCGAUCCUUGCCUAUGUUGAUGACGCCGGGCACGAAUUGCAUUAGAUCCUCGUCUGUGUCGACAUCACCGGACGCAUUCGUUGACGGGGACGCCAUGUUCUUGUUGAAGACCCGACACAACGCGUAUGUGUCCUGAACAAAUCAAUCAUGCAAGUGUAUGUGAGGCGUGGAGCUCAAUUACUAUAUCAACAAAAGAAGAAGAAAAAUGAAGAUACCUGUAUGUGGUGGCCGUGGAGACGGUACUCGUGCAUGACCCAGUCGGUCCGUGUGCCGCUAGGUGCUUUGCCGAUGUGGAACACAAGCGUCUUCUUCAUGCCGACGACGAUGCCCUUGUGCAUUACGGGGCGGUCCUUCCCGGUGGACUUCCAGAACCCUCUGGGCGUCGCCCGUUCCAUGCGAAGCCCGGUUGGGUACUUCCGCCCCCUCGGCGCGAACAAGUACCACUCAACUUUGGCCCCAGGGUCGCUUGUGCUCGGUGAGAAUGAUUUGCCUGUGCGCGCAUGCAUGCAGGUGAAAACACAUGGAACAUAAGUCAAUUGACAAGAUAUACUAGUUGACUUGGAAAGAAAACUCAACUUAAUCGCUGCUAGUAGCUAGUAAAAUGUAAAAGGAAAUCAAGUCAAUUUUCAUAUAUACUGUACUGCGGUGAUCUUCCGUGCAAAACAGGCCUAAAUUCAACUGAUGCGAUUUCUCUUUUUGUGUGAGGUGUAACUGCUGCAUCGGUUGAUGCCGAGGCAGGGGGUUUUAACCUCCUUUUUUUUAAAAAAAGGAGCGAAUACAAAAAAUUGGCCCUUAGGUUUGUUUGUUAUGACAAAAUUGAUGAUCCAAAAUGGUGAAAAACAUCAUGAAAAUCAAGUUAACACCGCAGCGAUCUCUUUCUUAAUUGUACUGAUCGGUUUACACGAAUGUGUCUGAUUUGAAACAGGUGACCUCCGUAUAUAUAUAUAUAUACCUGGUAGGUGGUGGGGUUGGAGCUUGUAGAGGUCCACCUCCGGGAUGAAGCAGCCGCCGUGUCCCAGGACCUUGCGCCGGAGGUAGAAGCUG